UACGUAGGUGACAAGCGUUGUCCGGAUUUACUGGGCGUAAAGAGCGCGCAGGCGGUCGAUCAAGUCGAGUGUGAAAGCCCCCGGCUCAACUGGGGAGGGUCAUUCGAUACUGAUCGACUCGAAGGCAGGAGAGGGUAGUGGAAUUCCCGGUGUAGUGGUGAAAUGCGUAGAUAUCGGGAGGAACACCAGUGGCGAAGGCGGCACCCUGGCGUCGUACUGACGCACAUGUGCGAAAGCGUGGGGAGCGAACGGG
rnacentral:rRNA from 1 species